rnacentral:rRNA from 1 species
CCUACGGGAGGCAGCAGUGAGGAAUAUUGGUCAAUGGGCGCGAGCCUGAACCAGCCAAGUAGCGUGAAGGAUGACUGCCCUACGGGUUGUAAACUUCUUUUAUACAGGAAUAAAGUGAUGCACGUGUGCCUUUUUGUAUGUCUUUUAUGAAUAAGGAUCGGCUAACUCCGUGCCAGCCGCCGCGGUAAUACGGAGGAUCCGAGCGUUAUCCGGAUUUAUUGGGUUUAAAGGGAGCGUAGAUGGGUUGUUAAGUCAGUUGUGAAAGUUUGCGGCUCAACCCUAAAAUUGCAAUUGAUACUGGCAGCCUUGAGUACAGGUGAGGUAGGCGGAAUUCGUGGUGUAGCGGUGAAAUGCUUAGAUAUCACGAAGAACUCCGAUUGCGAAGGCAGCCUACUAAACUGCAACUGACAUUGAUGCUCGAAAGUGUGGGUAUCAAACAGGAUUAGAUACCCGAGUAGUC